CCUACGGGGGGCAGCAGUGGGGAAUAUUGGACAAUGGGGGCAACCCUGAUCCAGCCAUGCCGCGUGUGUGAAGAAGGCCCUCGGGUUGUAAAGCACUUUCAGUGAGGAAGAACGCCUGGUGGUUAAUACCCAUCAGGAAAGACAUCACCCACAGAAGAAGCACCGGCUAACUCCGUGCCAGCAGCCGCGGUAAUACGGAGGGUGCGAGCGUUAAUCGGAAUUACUGGGCGUAAAGCGCGCGUAGGUGGCUUGAUAAGCCGGUUGUGAAAGCCCCGGGCUCAACCUGGGAACGGCAUCCGGAACUGUCAAGCUAGAGUGCAGGAGAGGAAGGUAGAAUUCCCGGUGUAGCGGUGAAAUGCGUAGAGAUCGGGAGGAAUACCAGUGGCGAAGGCGGCCUUCUGGACUGACUCUGACACUGAGGUGCGAAAGCGUGGGUAGCAAACAGGAUUAGAUACCCUGGUAGUC
rnacentral:rRNA from 1 species